rnacentral:snRNA from 1 species
AGCUUUGUGCAGUGGCAGUAUCGUAGCCAAUGAGGUUUACCCGAGGCGUGAUUAUUGCUAAUUGAAAACUUCAG